rnacentral:rRNA from 1 species
CCUACGGGAGGCAGCAGUGGGGAAUAUUGGGCAAUGGAGGCAACUCUGACCCAGCAACGCCGCGUGAAUGAUGAAGGUCUUCGGAUUGUAAAGUUCUGUGAUGGGGGAUGAACACAAUGACGGUACCCCAAUAGCAAGCCACGGCUAACUACGUGCCAGCAGCCGCGGUAAUACGUAGGUGGCAAGCGUUAUCCGGAAUGACUGGGCGUAAGGGGUGCGUAGGUGGUUUAGUAAGUUGGCGGUGUAAUUCCGGGGCUCAACCUCGGCGCUACCGCCAAAACUAUUAGACUAGAGUGCAGGAGGGGUAAGUGGAAUGCCUAGUGUAGCGGUGGAAGGCGUAGAUAUUAGGAGGAACAUCAGGGGCGAAGGCGACUUACUGGACUGUAACUGACACUGAGGCACGAAAGCGUGGGGAGCAAACAGGAUUAGAUACCCUGGUAGUC